rnacentral:rRNA from 1 species
AUGAACGCUGGCGGCGUGCCUAAUACAUGCAAGUCGAGCGAACGGACGAGAAGCUUGCUUCUCUGAUGUUAGCGGCGGACGGGUGAGUAACACGUGGAUAACCUACCUAUAAGACUGGGAUAACUUCGGGAAACCGGAGCUAAUACCGGAUAAUAUUUUGAACCGCAUGGUUCAAAAGUAAAAGACGGUCUUGCUGUCACUUAUAGAUGGAUCCGCGCUGCAUUAGCUAGUUGGUAAGGUAACGGCUUACCAAGGCAACGAUGCAUAGCCGACCUGAGAGGGUGAUCGGCCACACUGGAACUGAGACACGGUCCAGACUACUACGGGAGGCAGCAGUAGGGAAUCUUCCGCAAUGGGCGAAAGCCUGACGGAGCAACGCCGCGUGAGUGAUGAAGGUCUUCGGAUCGUAAAACUCUGUUAUUAGGGAAGAACAUAUGUGUAAGUAACUGUGCACAUCUUGACGGUACCUAAUCAGAAAGCCACGGCUAACUACGUG